GGAAACUCUCACGGGAUGGAAGAUAAAUCCCACUCGAUUAAGCUUUCUCCUAAUAGAUGCAAGUAGGAAUGGAAGGUGGUACUGAGGAUCAAAGGGCCUACUUGGACAUCGGCAAUCAGCCUGCCUCUUGCUGGCCUUCUCGAGUUAUCAUAAGCGGUGAUGUACACGGGAGAAGGAGCCAGAGAGUCCUCAGAAAUGUCAAGGGCGCGCAGCGUGGAUAGAGGGCAGAUGUUGAGGGUUUUUUGAACUCGAGAGAUAGAACGAUUGCCGAUAAGAAGAGUUCAGUUCAGGGCUCUGAUAUGGGGAGAUAGCUUACCAUUGGGUAGGUCAUCAUCUGAGAAGGAUAUGGCCGUCGGUGCAGUGAGAAUUCC
rnacentral:misc_RNA from 1 species